UUCGGACCCCCCAUCUCCUCCUCCUCCCUCCCCGGCCUACGCCCCCGAGCCUACUAACCCGCCGGAAGAGGAGAAAACCCGCCGGAGACGCCGGGAAGCAUUUCGCCGAAAAUCCCAUUUCCGGCCACCAAAACUCGCAAUUCUUAACUCAUUUUUGUAGCUCUCAUCAAGGUGCGUAUCCCCUCAAAGGGAAUAAGUCUAUCUCGUUGUGGUUAUGGAGAAAUGUAUAAUUGAAGUUCUAGGGAUUUUGGAUGUUUUUAGUCGAUUACCCUAGUUAGCCUUAGAAUUGGACUAAGUGCUAGUUAGGAAAGUUGUUGUGCUUCAUAAGAGGAUUAUUUUGUUAAAAUUUGGUAGAAAUUUGAGGUCGCCGGAAUCGGCCUCCGGCCGCCGCUGCCGGCGGAGCCGGCGCCGGCACCGGAGCUGUUUGGGAGAUUUUAAUGUUUUUAGAUUUGAAAUAUUAAGGGGAGUUUAUUGAAGUGACUUAUGGAAUUUUUGGAUGAGUUUUGGAUAGGUUUGUGAAUUUCCGAGGUUUGGUAUUUUUGGCGGUUAAUUAAUGUAGAAUCCGGCCGUAGGAUUUAAGUCGUAUUCUGUGGGAAGUUGUUUUUACGACUACCGGUAUGUUCGGCGAAGUUUGAGCCGUAUUGAGUUAAGAAUGGCGAAUUUGGGGCAAUGAUGAGUGUGUGGGAGGGUCACGUUUAAUUUUGCCCAUUUUGUUUAAUUAUUGGAUUUUUGGUGGGAAAUUAAUUAUAUAUUUGGAACAGGACGAGAGGAGGCACGAGCAGAGGAAGCCUCGGAGCGUCAUCAGGCUUAGGCCUAAUUUGUGAGUAGACCUUUAUUUUAAGUGAAAAGCAUGCGAUGAAUUAUCUGUUGAUCAUUUAUUUCUUUUCCUGAGAUUUAUUUAUUUCUCGGAUAUUUGGCAAUUUUCCUCCUUUGGAGAGAUCCCGAAAAUGAGAUUUUCGGUGGAUAUGUUUAUUGGAUGUUUAUGAUGAUAGUAUGUAUAUAUAAAUGCUAGCUAGCCAUACGUGUUUGAUCCGCCAUAAUGAGGUAAAAUACCAUUAUGGUGUGACGUGAGUGUUAGACACAAGCGUAGUAGCCCUAUAUG
rnacentral:lncRNA from 1 species